rnacentral:rRNA from 1 species
GACGAACCGUGCGAACGUUGUUCGGAAUCACUGGGCUUAAAGGGCGCGUAGGCGGCUGCGCAAGUCCGGGGUGAAAGCCCCCAGCUCAACUGGGGAAGUGCCUUGGAUACUGUGCAGCUCGAGCGAGGCAGGGGUAGUGGGAACUUCCGGUGGAGCGGUGAAAUGCGUUGAUAUCGGAAGGAACGCCGGUGGCGAAAGCGCACUACUGGUCCUCUUCUGACGCUGAGGCGCGAAAGCCAGGGGAGCAAACGGG